rnacentral:tRNA from 1 species
GCCUGGCUGGCUCAGUCGGUAGAGCGUGAGGCUCUUGAUCUCAGGGUCAUGAGUUCAAGCCCCGUACUGGUCA